UACGGAGGGUGCAAGCGUUAUCCGGAUUUACUGGGUUUAAAGGGUGCGUAGGUGGGUAGGUAAGUCAGUGGUGAAAUCUCCGGGCUUAACCCGGAAACUGCCAUUGAUACUAUUUAUCUUGAAUACUUCGGAGGUAAGCGGAAUAUGUCAUGUAGCGGUGAAAUGCUUAGAUAUGACAUAGAACACCAAUUGCGAAGGCAGCUUACUACACAGUAAUUGACACUGAGGCACGAAAGCGUGGGGAUCAAACAGG
rnacentral:rRNA from 1 species